rnacentral:rRNA from 1 species
UACGUAGGUGGCGAGCGUUGUCCGGAUUUACUGGGCGUAAAGAGCGCGCAGGCGGUCGUGCAAGUCGCGUGUGAAAGCCCCCGGCUCAACUGGGGAGGGUCACGCGAUACUGCUCGACUCGAAGGCAGGAGAGGGAAGUGGAAUUCCCGGUGUAGUGGUGAAAUGCGUAGAUAUCGGGAGGAACACCAGUGGCGAAGGCGACUUCCUGGCCUGUUCUUGACGCUGAGGCGCGAAAGCUAGGGUAGCAACGGG